AUUGAACGCUGGCGGCAGGCCUAACACAUGCAAGUCGAGCGGAUGAAGGGAGCUUGCUCCUGGAUUCAGCGGCGGACGGGUGAGUAAUGCCUAGGAAUCUGCCUGGUAGUGGGGGAUAACGUCCGGAAACGGGCGCUAAUACCGCAUACGUCCUGAGGGAGAAAGUGGGGGAUCUUCGGACCUCACGCUAUCAGAUGAGCCUAGGUCGGAUUAGCUAGUUGGUGGGGUAAAGGCCUACCAAGGCGACGAUCCGUAACUGGUCUGAGAGGAUGAUCAGUCACACUGGACAUAAAAGCGCGCCAAGCCCCCACCGGAUGAACGAGAGGGGGAAUAUUGAAAAGUGGGUGAACACUCAAUCAACCAGUGCGGGGUGUUGACAGAUGGUCUUCGAACUCAAAAGCCUUUUAGGGUGGACGGAAGGAGAGUAAUUUCAUCAGUUCUUUUUGGCACCUACAAAACAGGAGAAGCCCGGCCCACAUCGAGC
rnacentral:rRNA from 1 species